CCUACGGGAGACAGCAGUGGGGAAUAUUGGGCAAUGGACGCAAGUCUGACCCAGCAACGCCGCGUGAAGGAAGAAGGCUUUCGGGUUGUAAACUUCUUUUAAGGGGGAAGCGCAGAAGACGGUACCCCUUGAAUAAGCCACGGCUAACUACGUGCCAGCAGCCGCGGUAAUACGUAGGUGGCCAGCGUUGUCCGGAUUUAAUGGGUGUAAAGGGCGUGCAGCCGGAGAGACAUGUCAGAUGUGAAAUCCACGGGCUCAACCCGUGAACUGCAGUUGAAACUGUUUCCCUUGAGUGCGCGAGAAGUAUGCGGAAUGCGUGGUGUAGCGGUGAAAUGCAUAGAUAUCACGCAGAACUCCGAUUGCGAAGGUAGCAUACCGGCGCGCAACUGACGCUCAUGCACGAAAGCGUGGGUAUCGAACAGGAUUAGAUACCCUGGUAGUC
rnacentral:rRNA from 1 species